GAUGAACGCUGGCGGCGUGCCUAAUACAUGCAAGUCGAGCGAACGGACGAGAAGCUUGCUUCUCUGGUGUUAGCGGCGGACGGGUGAGUAACACGUGGAUAACCUACCUAUAAGACUGGGAUAACUUCGGGAAACCGGAGCUAAUACCGGAUGAUAUUUUGAACCGCAUGGUUCAAAAGUGAAAGACGGUCUUGCUGUCACUUAUAGAUGGAUCCGCGCUGCAUUAGCUAGUUGGUAAGGUAACGGCUUACCAAGGCAACGAUGCAUAGCCGACCUGAGAGGGUGAUCGGCCACACUGGAACUGAGACACGGUCCAGACUCCUACGGGAGGCAGCAGUGGGGAAUCUUCCGCAAUGGGCGAAAGCCUGACGGGGCAACGCCGCGUGAGUGAUGAAGGUCUUCGGAUCGUAAAACUCUGUUAUUAGGGAAGAACAUAUGUGUAAGUAACUGUGCACAUCUUGACGGUACCUAAUCAGAAAGCCACGGCUAACUACGUG
rnacentral:rRNA from 1 species